GAUGAACGCUAGCUACAGGCUUAACACAUGCAAGUCGAGGGGCAGCGGUAUUGAAAGCUUGCUUUCGGUAGCCGGCGACCGGCGCACGGGUGAGUAACGCGUAUCGAACCUGCCUCAUACUCGGGAAUAGCCUUGCGAAAGUAAGAUUAAUGCCCGGUGUUUUCAGAGUCCCGCAUGAGGCUUUGAACAAAGAUUUAUCGGUAUGAGAUGGCGAUGCGUCCCAUUAGCUUGUUGGCGGGGUAACGGCCCACCAAGGCAUCGAUGGGUAGGGGUUCUGAGAGGAAGGUCCCCCACAUUGGAACUGAGACACGGUCCAAACUCCUACGGGAGGCAGCAGUGAGGAAUAUUGGUCAAUGGGCGGAAGCCUGAACCAGCCAAGUAGCGUGCAGGAAGACGGCCCUCCGGGUUGUAAACUGCUUUUAGUUGGGAAUAAAACGGGGCUCGUGAGCUCCCUUGCAUGUACCAUCAGAAAAAGGACCGGCUAAUUCCGUGCCAGCCGCCGCCGUAA
rnacentral:rRNA from 1 species